rnacentral:rRNA from 1 species
AUGGCUGUCGUCAGCUCGUGUCGUGAGAUGUUCGGUUAAGUCCGGCAACGAGCGCAACCCACAUCUUUAGUUGCCAGCAGUUCGGCUGGGCACUCUAGAGAAACUGCCCGUGAUAAGCGGGAGGAAGGUGUAGAUGACGUCAAGUCCUCAUGGCCCUUACGGGUUGGGCUACACACGUGCUACAAUGGUAAUGACAAUGGGUUAAUCCCAAAAAGUUAUCUCAGUUCGGAUUGGGGUCUGCAACUCGACCCCAUGAAGUCGGAAUCGCUAGUAAUCGCGUAACAGCAUGACGCGGUGAAUACGUUCCCGGGCCUUGUACACACCGCCCGUGGGGCGGGGGCGGCGGGC